rnacentral:lncRNA from 1 species
CACGUCUAUGUACAAACAAAAAUUGUUGAAAUGACAAAAGAUAACCAAACAUCAAACCAGAAGUGUCAUCCAGUUAAGAACCACCCCACGAUCAGACAUCUGGAAAUUGAAGAGUAUAUCUAUAAGCACGGGAAACUCUAGGUAGAAGAGAAAAUGUAUAGAAAUAAAAAUACUAUUAUGUACUCCCUUUGCCACCCUCGAUUAACACAAUAUCAAUGACUCAUCAAAGAUCUGUCCGCGUCCAAAAACCAGACCAAGAUAGCCCCCACAUUAAGCUCCUACAGUGAUGGAAUCAAAACCUAUUUUGUAUCUCCUGUCACAGGGUAGGCCCAAAACAAUAUCCAAGUCUAUAUAACAACAAAAGAAUAUAAUAGAGAGAUCAAAUGCAACCAAUUAUGAACCCAGAACUGCCUUCCAGUUAAGCUUGAUUAAGAACCAAACAACGAUCAGGCAUCUGGAAAUCGAAGAGAAUAACAAUAAGCACGGGAAAGUCAAGAUGGAAGAUAAAUUGUAGCAGAAUUAAUACAAUACUAUACUCCCUCUGACACCCUCGAUAAACAUUAUAUCAGUGACAGCAUCAAAAGUUGAUGUCUCCAGUAACUAGACCAAGAUUAGCCCCACCAUAAGCUGCUUCUUUCACAACUUAAUUUUUAACUCCUGUCACAAGGUGAGGCAGAAAACAAUAUCCACGUCUACGUAACAAAUAAAAGAUUGUUGAAACUGACAAAAGAUAACCAAGCAUACCAGAAGUGCCUUCCAGUUAAGAACCACACAACAAUCAGACAUCUGGAAAUUGAAGAGUAUAACUAUUAGCACGGGAAACUCUAGGUAGAAGAGAAAAUGUAGGUAGAAAAAAAAUACUAUUAGUACUCCCUUUACCACCCACUAUUAACACUAUAUCAAUGACAGCAUGAAGGAUUUGUCAGUGUCCAAAAACCAGACCAAGACAGCCCCCACCUUAAGCUCCUACUUGAUAGAAUCAGAACCUAUUUUGUAUCUCCUAUCACAGGGUGAGGCUGAAACCAACAUCCGAGUCUAAAUAACAACAAAAGAACUACAAUAGAGAGAGCAAAGGUAACCAACUAUCAAACCCGAACUGCCGUCCAGUUAAGCUUGAUUAAGAACCACACAACGAUCGGGCAUCUGGAAAUGAAGAGAAUAACGAUAAGCACCGGAAGGUCUAGAUGGAAGAUAAAUUGUAUAGAAGAAAUACUAUACUAUACUCCCUCUGCCACCCUCGAUAAACACACUAUAUAGUGACCACGUCAAAGGAUUGACUUGUGUGCAAUAACUUGACUAAGAUUAGCCCUACCUUAAGCUCCUACUUGAUAAAAUUAAAACUUAAUUUUUAUCUCAUGUCAUAGGGUGGGGCAGAAAACAAUAUCCACGUCUAUGUAGCAAACAAAAUUGUUGAA